ACACUCCUACGGGAGGCAGCAGUGGGGAAUAUCGCACAAUGGGCGCAAGCCUGAUGCAGCCAUGCCGCGUGUAUGAAGAAGGCCUUCGGGUUGUAAAGUACUUUCAGCGGGGAGGAAGGCGAUAAGGUUAAUAACCUUGUCGAUUGACGUUACCCGCAGAAGAAGCACCGGCUAACUCCGUGCCAGCAGCCGCGGUAAUACGGAGGGUGCAAGCGUUAAUCGGAAUUACUGGGCGUAAAGCGCACGCAGGCGGUCUGUCAAGUCGGAUGUGAAAUCCCCGGGCUCAACCUGGGAACUGCAUUCGAAACUGGCAGGCUAGAGUCUUGUAGAGGGGGGUAGAAUUCCAGGUGUAGCGGUGAAAUGCGUAGAGAUCUGGAGGAAUACCGGUGGCGAAGGCGGCCCCCUGGACAAAGACUGACGCUCAGGUGCGAAAGCGUGGGGAGCAAACAGGAUUAGAAACCCCAGUAGUCCC
rnacentral:rRNA from 1 species